rnacentral:ncRNA from 1 species
CACCGCCCGUCGCUACUACCGAUUGAAUUAUUUAGUGAGAUCUCCGGACGUGACCACUGUAACGCAUUUUAUGUGUUACGGAUGUUUCGCAAAAGUUGACCGAACUUGAUUAUUUAAAGGAAGUAAAAGUUGUGACAAAGUUUCUGUAGGUGAACCUGCGGAAG